rnacentral:sRNA from 1 species
UUCAAAAAAAUAGCCUAGACAUCUAUCGAACGUCUAGCUACCGUACAACGAUUUUUUGAACAUUGAUUAUAGGUAACUAAAUCUACAUAUACAUUUUUGCCGCCAUUUUGUGAAAUAAAUCUUAGAGUUGGAACUUAUUUAUAAUGGCUGCCACUAGCUUUUAAUUAUUGUUUUUUUUGCAAUAAAUUAAUUAACAAGCAAAAAAAAUUCCAAAUAUAUUCUAAUCCCAUAUAUCACGCAGAUUUCUCCAAAAUUGAACUAAAUUUCGGUAACUAUUUAAAACAAAAAAUGUUUGACAAACCAAAAUACAAUUGCAAUCCCUUAAAAUGAGCAAAAUGCACCUAAAUACAUUUCUUAUCAAUUCACUAAAUCUAAUUUCUCCAAAAUUUGAAUUAGAUUUCGACAAAUAUUUUUA